AGCUCCAAUAGCGUAUAUUAAAGUUGUUGCAGUUAAAAAGCUCGUAGUUGGAUCUGGGGCACAGGCGGUCGGUCCACCUUGCGGUGUUGACUGGCCUGCCCGGCCCACCUUCCGGUCCUUCCUUGGUGCUCUUGACUGAGUGCCCUGGGCGGCUGGGACGUUUACUUUGAAAAAAUUAGAGUGCUCAAAGCAGUCCUGAGCGACUGAAUAUUGUUGCAUGGAAUAAUGGAACAGGACCCCGGUUCUGUUGUGUUGGUUUUCGGAACUGGAGUAAUGAUUAAGAGGAACAGACGGGGGCAUUCGUAUUACAGCGGGAGAGGUGAAAUUCUUGGAUCGCUGUAAGACGGACUACUGCGAAAGCAUUUGCCAAGAAUGUUUUCAUUAAUCAAGAACGAAAGUA
rnacentral:rRNA from 1 species